AUGCCGGUCUCCACGCGCUCGCAGGCCAGCGCCAUCAAGGGCGGCGACCCGGGCGCGCGCCAGUGGAGCUCGUCGGCGGCGCGGGUGCCAAUGUCGGCCCCGGGCCGCGACGCCGCGGGGCGCCGGGCGUCGCUCCUCCCCAACACGCACCACGGGCUCAAGGAGAAGAUGCGCGCGCUCAACCUCUUCUACGAGCAGCACAAGCAGAUGCUCGCCUCCUCGCAGGGCGGCGCCGCCAUGCGCCGCAGCCGCACCAUCCCGCACGCCAACGUCGGGGAGGACAGGGACGAGAACGCUGGGGAGGAGGAGGAGGAGGGGGAGGGGGCCAGGCGUCACCGCGACGCCUUUGCUCCGCUCCCCGAGGCGGCGGUCCUCAGGGACAGGGAGAACAACAUGGGGCCUCCGGAGGCGAGGGCCCCUUCCAAGAACGACAAGGUCGUCGUCUUCUCGCGGCCGCCGGAGCCCAAGGAGAAGGAGAACGUGGCCCUCGCCGCCAACGUCAUGUCCUGCCCCGUCAAGAAGGCGGCGCCGGCUCUCCCCGCGCUGCAGGCCAGGAAGCUCUCACUCGGAGGAGGCAUCGGCGGCAAGCUCAAGGCUGUAGGGGAGAUGGGAGCUGCCAAUGCUGACGCAACAGGGAGCCGGAUCAUGGUCUUCGUCAGGCUGCGGCCCAUGUCCAGGAAGGAGAAGGAGGCCGGGUCCAAGACCUGCGUCAAGAUCGUCAACAAGAAGGACGUGUACCUCACGGAGUUGGCCUCAGAGAACGACUACCUCCGCCUGAAGCGCGUGCGAGGUCGCCAUUUCUGCUUCGACGCUUCCUUCCCCGACUCCACGGCGCAGGCCGAAGUCUAUAGCACCUCAACAGCAGAUCUUGUGGAAGGUGUUUUGCAAGGGAGGAAUGGGACCGUGUUUUGCUAUGGAGCAACAGGGGCUGGGAAGACCUACACAAUGCUCGGGACCAUGGAUAACCCUGGCGUAAUGGUGCUCGCAAUCAAGGAUUUGUUCUUGAAGGUGAGGCAGAGGAGCUAUGAUGGCAACCACUCGAUUCAGCUGUCGUACCUCGAGGUCUACAAUGAGACAGUGAGGGACUUGCUAUCUCCUGGUAGACCCCUCCUUCUGAGAGAAGACAAGCAGCAGGGAACUGUUGCUGCUGGUCUUACACAAUAUAGAGCAUACUCUACAGAUGAAGUUAUGAAAUUACUUCAGCAAGGCAACCAGAAUAGAACAACUGAACCAACUCGAGUUAAUGAGACCUCAUCGCGCUCCCAUGCAAUACUACAGGUUGUCGUGGAAUAUAGAUACAUGGAUGGAACUAGUGUUGUAACACGAGUUGGAAAGCUCUCACUCAUUGAUCUUGCUGGAUCAGAGAGGGCUAUAGCAACUGACCAACGCUCACAGAGGUCGCUGGAAGGAGCGAACAUAAAUCGGUCUCUCCUCGCACUCAGCAGUUGCAUCAAUGCUCUUGUGGAGGGGAAGAGGCAUGUGCCAUAUCGCAAUUCCAAGCUGACCCAGCUCCUCAAGGAUUCACUUGGGGGAUCCUGCAACACUGUCAUGAUUGCAAACAUCAGCCCUUCGAAUCUUUCCUUUGGUGAGACACAGAACACUCUUCAUUGGGCUGAUCGCGCCAAGGAGAUAAAAACAAAGCCAUUGACCGCUGGGAAUGAGGAAGUUUUCAAGGCGCCAGAUUCUGAUACUGAUCAGGCCAAGCUAGUACUGGAGCUUCAGAAGGAGAACAGUGAGCUGAGGCAGCAGGUGGUGAAGCAGCAACAGAAGCUGCUGACUGUUCAGGCUCAGUCACUUGCUCCCAACGGCUUGCCACAACAAUGUGCUGCCCCCUCACCUCACAUUACCACCACGCCAUGCUCAACGCAAAGAAAGGUGAAGCGGUCUAUUCUAGACGGGAGCUGUUUCAGCACACCAAAUUCUAAGAGGCCAGCAGACAAUGCAAUGGUCCGGGAUCUGCAGAGGAAAGUGAAGACCCUGGAGUCCGAGAUCGAGAAGAUGAAGAAGGAACACUUUCUGCAGCUCAAGCAGAGGGACGAGUUCAUCCGCGGUUUGAUCAACAGGAAGAACUCAAAUGACCCUGAACCAGCAACAGCUGAGAGAAGAGUGAUCACAAGGGCAAGCCUACGUAAGGCCGAGAAAGAUGCAGGUGAGCUGAAGAGCCCGAGCCACCGGUUCACGUCACCUGUGCCUACGGCUAAGAAGCGUACCUUCUGGGACUUUGGAGGCGAAAGCCCUUCAGUUCUUGCUGGAAAUGGGCGGAAGACUCGGAGCCAUGUAGCUGCUGAAACUCCAAUCAGGGUCCCUUCAAUGCUACUUCAGCCGGGAUUCACACGCCAAAGAGCCUAG
rnacentral:rRNA from 1 species